GAUGAACGCUAGCGGCAGGCCUAAUACAUGCAAGUCGAGGGGUAACAGGAAGUGCUUGCACUUCGCUGACGACCGGCGCACGGGUGAGUACCGCGUAUACAAUCUGCCUCAUACUAGGGAAUAGCCCGAAGAAAUUUGGAUUAAUGCCCUAUAGUAUCUUUUUAAGGCAUCUUAUUAAGAUUAAAGGUUACGGUAUGAGAUGAGUAUGCGUUCUAUUAGCUAGUAGGUGUGGUAACGGCACACCUAGGCUACGAUAGAUAGGGGCCCUGAGAGGGGGAUCCCCCACACUGGUACUGAGACACGGACCAGACUCCUACGGGAGGCAGCAGUAAGGAAUAUUGGACAAUGGGCGAAAGCCUGAUCCAGCCAUGCCGCGUGCAGGAUGACGGCCCUAUGGGUUGUAAACUGCUUUUAUAUAGGAAGAAAAACUUUCUCGUGAGAAAGCAUGACGGUACUAUAAGAAUAAGGAUCGGCUAACUCCGUGCCAGCAGCCGCGGUAAUACGGAGGAUCCAAGCGUUAUCCGGAAUCAUUGGGUUUAAAGGGUCCGUAGGUGGACAAAUAAGUCAGAGGUGAAAUCCUGCAGCUCAACUGUAGAACUGCCUUUGAUACUGUUUGUCUUGAGUUAUUAUGAAGUGGUUAGAAUGUGUAGUGUAGCGGUGAAAUGCAUAGAUAUUACACAGAAUACCGAUUGCGAAGGCAGAUCACUAAUAAUUAACUGACACUGAGGGACGAAAGCGUGGGUAGCGAACAGGAUUAGAUACCCUGGUAGUCCACGCCGUA
rnacentral:rRNA from 1 species